CGCCCUGGGUUAGUCGGGACCUAAGCUGAGGCCGAAAGGCGUAGGUGAUGGACAACAGGUUGAUAUUCCUGUACUACCGAUAACCGUUUGAGAGAAGGGAUGACACAGUAGGAUAAGCUAAGCACACGGUUGGUUAUGUGUGCCCAAGCAUUGAGGCAGUCAAAGUAGGCAAAUCCGCUUUGAUAAUGCUGGGAUGUGAUGGGGAGCGAAAUUUAGUAGCGAA
rnacentral:rRNA from 1 species